CCAGCAGCACUCAGCCGCACCCACCAGCACCCAGCCGCACCCACCGGCACUCAGCAGCACCCAGCCGCCCCACAGACCACACCCAGCACCGGCCCCCACAAAGCCUAGCCGCCCCCAGGCCGCCCCUCGUGACCGCCCCCUCCCAGUGCACCCAGGCCCGCCCCCGACCACCCCCAGACAGACCCUCGGCGCUCCGACUGCACGACCACCCUCCAGACCGGGUCUCCCCCGCACAGGCCUGGACCCCGCGCCCCGACGGCGCCCGACCGCCAGUGGGAGAUGGGGGCCAGGGAUUCAAACCUGGGUCCUUCUGCACUGUAACACGUUCACUCAACCAGAUAAGUUUCUGUCUCCCAACUCCACCUCCCCAUGAAUCACCCAGGACCUUCCAGAUAACCAUGACAACACACCACUUCAAUCAACAGUCCCCAGCUGCUAACUCCCCCCUUGCCCUGGCCUUAAAAGCAGCAUCUUUGGUGCUAAUAAACAGACUUGAUGGGAAUCUUGACUUGUCUCACUUCUCUCGCGUGUCUUGUCCCCUUCCCUCUCCCUUCUUUCCUUGUCCUCACUCCCUCUCCUAGGUUAACCCACGUUGAAGG